GAUGGAGAACGUAGCGAAAUGCGAUAAGUAAUGCGAAUUGCAGAAUUCCAGUGAGUCAUCGAAUCUUUGAACGCACAUUGCGCCCUUUGGUAUUCCGAAGGGCAUGCCUGUUCGAGCGUCAUUAUCACCCCUCAAGCCCUCGGCUUGGUGUUGGACGGUUUGGUGGAGGCCCCCUCGGGGGCUCCUGCCCCUCCCAAAGACAAUGACGGCGGCCUCGUUGGACCCCCGGUACACUGAGUUCUUCACGGGACACGUAUCGGACACAUGGGUUUACGGGACACGGUCUGCCUCCCCUCAGGGAGAAUCUUUCUAAGGUUGACCUCGGAUCAGGUAGGGAUACCCGCUGAACUUAAGCAUAUCAAUAAGCGGAGGA
rnacentral:misc_RNA from 1 species